UGCAGAAAGCUCUGGGUGUGCGGCAGUA
rnacentral:piRNA from 1 species